CAGCCGCCGCGGGAAUACAGAGGGUGCGAGCGUUAAUCGGAUUUACUGGGCGUAAAGCGUGCGUAGGCGGCUUUUUAAGUCGGAUGUGAAAUCCCUGAGCUUAACUUAGGAAUUGCAUUCGAUACUGGAAAGCUAGAGUAUGGGAGAGGAUGGUAGAAUUCCAGGUGUAGCGGUGAAAUGCGUAGAGAUCUGGAGGAAUACCGAUGGCGAAGGCAGCCAUCUGGCCUAAUACUGACGCUGAGGUACGAAAGCAUGGGGAGCAAACAGGAUUAGAUACCCGCGUAGUCCCUGUCUCUUAUAC
rnacentral:rRNA from 1 species